GUAACGCAAGACUGAACAACUACCAAAGAUAUACAAGAAUUCAUCAGCAUCUCUAUGUAAGAGCUGAAUGUGAAUGGGGCAGCCAAACUAUACAAUAUUCAGAUAUGUCAGUGUUCAGUAUUUACAGUGCAGAUAAAUCUAUUGACGAGUAUCAACAUCACAGGAAUGCAUUUUUUCACAGGGGAAUUCAAGAAUUAUAAACAAAUACAGUAUGUUGAUUGAAGAUUUCAUCACCACAUCUGGUAGUGUCUCAUCUCUACUUGUUGAAUAUGUUCAUCUU